UAGAUAUUGGGAGGAACACCGGAGNCGAAGGCGAUCACCUGGCUUACAACUGACACUCAUCCUCGAGAGCAUGGGUAGCAAACAGGAUUAGAUACCCUGGUAGUCUAUGCUGUAAACGAUGGACACUAGAUGUUGUGGGAUUUGAUCCCUGCAGUAUCGUAGUUAACGCGUUAAGUGUCCCGCCUGGGGAAUACGGUCGCAAGAUUUAAAACUCAAAGAAAUUGACGGGGGCCCGCACAAGCGGUGGAGCAUGUGGUUCAAUUCGAGGCAACGCGAAAAACCUUACCUGGGCUUGACAUCCUGCUUUAAAUCAUAGAGAUAUGGUCUAGUCUUCGGACAAGGCAGGACAGGUGCUGCAUGGCUGUCGUCAGCUCGUGUCGUGAGAUGUUGGGUUAAGUCCUGCAACGAGCGCAACCCUUAUCAUUAGUUGCCAUCAUUAAGUUGGGUACUCUAAUGAGACUGCCGGUGUUAAACCGGAGGAAGGUGGGGAUGACGUCAAGUCAUCACGGCCCUUAUGUCCAGGGCUACACACGUGCUACAAUGGUCGGUACAAAGAGCUGCAAACCCGCAAGGGGGAGCUAAUCUCAAAAAGCCGAUCUCAGUUCGGAUCGGAGUCUGCAAUUUGACUUCGUGAAGCUGGAAUCGCUAGUAAUCGCGAAUCAGCAUGUCGCGGUGAAUACGUUCCCGGGCCUUGUACACACCGCCCGUCACACCACGAAAGUUUAUUGUACCAGAAGAGGUGAAGCUAACUUUUGAGG
rnacentral:rRNA from 1 species